AUGGCCAUACAUCAAUCAGAAAAUGACGACUUCGCCGUUGCUGCUCUCUCUCUCCAGUCCCUCGCGCGCAACUCUCGCCUGCGGCCGUGCUCUGCUUCACCACCGCGCCGAGCUGCACGCAGCUGUCCGCCCACCUCGCCUGCACCGUCCCUGCGUGCCAGCAACCCACUGCCGCGUCUGGCUCCGCUAUCUGGCCCCGUCCACGCGCGCCGAGUCCUCCACCAUCCGGCUCGCGCCCCCAUCCUCCGGCUCCCUGCUCCCUCACGCCGACGUCUGCGAGCACUCGGACACUGCCGCGCCGCCUGCUCGCCUCCUGGCGGCACCAACCACACCCGUCUGCGUCGCCUCGGGCCGACGGCUCCGCCCCAAGUGCUCGGACGCCAGCGCCGCGGCUGCCGUGUGCUCCUCCGCCCACGCCGGCUGUGGCCUCGUCCUGGCCCGGCCGUCUGCCGGCUUCGGUCGGCCGCCUCCCGUGCCACUCGGCGCUGCUCCAGCCGGCGACCGCGCGCACCGCCGACUCCCCCGCGCCCUUGCGGCCCUCUCCGCCGCUCCCACAACUCGUCGCUCCGGCUGCUCCGUCCGCCUCCAGCGCCUGCCUGCCCCGUUCGGCUUGCGGCCACCUCGCCGCCAGUCGGCCUCGCCCGUGCUUGCCCAGCCGGCUCCGGCCUCCCCAUCCGCCUGGUCGAGCUUGCCUCCGCCUCCCGCGCUUCCAGGCCCUGUUCGGCCCGCAGCCUCCUCGCCGCCAAUCGGCCUGGCCCGCGCCGUCUCUUGCCCAAUCGGCUCCGGCCUCCCCGUGCAACUGGUCGCGCUCGCAUCCGCCUGCGCACCCGCAGGCCUAGGCCGGCCCCGGCCCUGCGCAUCCGUCGGCUUGCCGCCCUGCGGUGGCCGGCUCCCGCAUCGACCGCGUCCAGCCAUCGCUCCUUGCAGCCAGCUGCAAAAACAGCCAAGAUUCAGAAGAAAGAAAGAAACGAAGAGGCCAAGUGCCUGCUAGCCGGCAAGCGAAAAAAGAAAAUCACGUCCGGCAGGAAAGAAAGAGUGGUCGGCUGUUUAAACAGAAAGAAGAAAAAUAAUCCGGCUGCUCGCGUGAUCCAUCCGGCUGUUAAAAAGAAAGGCGUCCGGCUGCAAACGAGAAACGGAGCAGAAGAAAAGGUGUUUGUCCGGCUAUACGGGCAGACAAAAAGAAGAAAAGAAAGAACGUUAACUCCAACAAAGAAGACAAAGUAG
rnacentral:rRNA from 1 species